rnacentral:rRNA from 1 species
AUGGCCCUCAAUCUACCAAUAUGGUUCUUCAAGUGCAUCGACAAACUAAGAAGAAGCUUCUUUUGGCGAGGGGUGGAGGACGCCAAGGGGGGAUGCUGCCAUGUGGCAUGGCAUGUCGUCUGCUCCCCCAAGCCGUACGGGGGGUUGGGUGUCCUCAAUCUGCGGCUUCUGAAUCAAUCCCUACACCUGCGCUGGCUCUGGCUACAGAAGACGGCGUUGGACAAAACCUGGAACGUCUUGGAGGUCUGCGUCUCAGACAAGGCUGCGGGCCUGGGUCUCGCGGCACUCACUACAAAAAAAGACACAUCCGUGACAUUUUGGGCCGAAUGA